rnacentral:misc_RNA from 1 species
CUGCCAGGUGAAACCCCAACGAGAAAGCAUUUGUCAGAGUGCAGAAAUCAGACCCGCGCGGAUCCUCCUAAGCACACGUAUGGAAGGGAUAAGACAUUCCCUGCGGAUACCCUCAGAGCCUUUGAGCCAUGCUGAUAGAUUGCUGGCUCUGCAUUUUUGUGGCUGCUGAAGGCGCGGCGGCACGAGUUGAACCCAGCGUUUUCAGUAGUGGCUUUGAGCAAGAAGGCAAGGUUAGCCACUCACGUGUCCCUGCUGAAACACCUGGGGACUUGUCGCCCACUCGGAACCAUGAAAAAAGACGUAAGCACGCACCGCACCACAUAAGCACAGUCACGACGUACAGGUCACUCUUUCUCUCUGCUUCCCUGCCGAGAGCGGAAACCACACGCCUGGGGGUCUCCAAAGGAGCAAAGAACUACUCGCCAAAACUCUCCACCUGCCCCUUUCCUGCUCCCGGAAUUUACCCUUUCAAGCGCUUUGACUAAGGCUGGUGGCAACACAGCGCUCCUUACCCACUGACCGGCCAAACGCUGACAGCUCUGGCAUGCAGACGUGACGCUGCUGUGGCUACAGCUGCUCCACAGACCCGCACCUCUGGCCUGCCGCUCUGCCCGCUCACCAGCUGGCAAGGCUGCACAGAAUGCAGAAUGUGUGCCGGGAUGGGAAAAGUGCUGCGGGUGAAGGACCGGACCUGCUGCCGAUUGCUGUUGCCCGGAAGUAGGUGGGGCCAUAACCGGAACUCCCUCCCACCUACCUACAUAGGGAGGCGCCAUUUUGUUGGAGCCUGCGUUCCACUCUGAGGAGCCGCCAUUUCAUGCCACUCCGUACGCCACGUGGUUUUCUACUGCUUAGGGCUUGGCUCCCUGGCUUUUCUUUAGCUCCUUCAUAUUCCCAGGCCUCCCUCUGACUGCGUGCCCAAUUCCCUUGCUCCGGGAAGUGCUCACAUGACAAAACAGAUCCAUUCCUGCGCAGUCGCACCGGGCAAAGGCGUCCCGGUCUUGGCGCUGGGGGCUGCCUCGUGUCUGACACGGGGGUUUCUGGAGACCAGCGGUACUACGGGCGCUUUGGUCCCAGCUAAACAGCUCCGCCGGCUCCACUUCUCGGUUGGCAACAGCAACUCACUCGCGCCUCCCGCAUAAGGAUCUGAUGGGAAAUGCCUCGCCCUUUAAGUGCGCCGCCUCUUGCCUUGUGGAAAGGCACAGACAACCAAGGGCAGUCACACGCCAGAGAGGGCUCCACUCAUUUCCAUCGUAGCGUUUGAUACAGCCGUGGAAAAAGCACUCAUCACAUUCAGGAGCUCUCGGCACGCCAUCAGUGAUGGCAGAGCACUGCAAGAACAAGGGUCUCUUUGAUAUUCAACACCUUGUCAUGCGGAACGCACGUUCUCUUGGGCCCAAAUACUCAGCUCGGCACUGCUCUACUUGAGGAAACGACUGACAAAGGGCAUAAAGCAGGCUCUUCUGCUGCACCCCUCUGUCACUCCUCCCAUCACAAGUGGUCUCAUCACAAAGAGAACCAGCUGUGCAGCAGACUUCAGGCCUGCAAAGGGCCCCCUACAAAAACUCCCGCGGCUGUGCACAGACCUGUGUUCCCCGCUCCCUGAACAGGCCAGCAGCGUGACUUACACUUUGACACGGCCUGUGCAAUUCCUUCUUUUGGGAAAGCACGCCACCUUUCUUCUAGCACACGCAAAGAAAACUCUGCUCUCUCAUUCCGGCUUCCACGCCGUGUUUCUGGCAACUCCAGAAUUACCCAGCAUCAGCACUGGCCAAACAAAAACAACCGGAGCUCACCAUUCCUAAAGGGACUCGUCUCACUCACAACAAGCAUCUGUUCCAAGCAGUGGUGGUUGUCCCGGCACAUGACUUUGGUACGGCUAGAAGAAGACCAUUACUCCGUACCGUUUCACGUCAUGCACAGGAAGGAAAGAGGGCCUAAGGAAGAAGGAGCUGUUCACCUCGGGAGUGAUGGCUUUGUCUUCCCAGCAAGCUGUUACACGUGCUAAACCCUGCUUCCCAGAAAGCAGACGAGCGUCUAUCUGCCUGCCCAGGGGGAUGCAGCAAAAGAAUUCCUGGCUUUGCUUUGCUUACGCCUGCAGCUUUUGCUUUACCUCUCGGAACACCUUUAUCUCACCCUCUGGAUUCUCACACCGUUGCCUCACCAGUUCCAUCCCAUAACCCACACGGGCAGGGUGAGCAAGCAGCUGUCUGGCGUUUAGCUGUCUGCCAGGUGAAACCCCAACGAGAAAGCAUUUGUCAGAGUGCAGAAAUCAGACCCGCGCGGAUCCUCCUAAGCACACGUAUGGAAGGGAUAAGACAUUCCCUGCGGAUAC